rnacentral:rRNA from 1 species
GUAGGCAGCGAGCGUUGUUCGGAGUUACUGGGCGUAAAGGGUGUGUAGGCGGUCGUUUAAGUUUGGUGUGAAAUCUCCCGGCUCGACUGGGAGGGUGCGCCGAAUACUGAAUGACUUGGAGUGCGGGAGAGGUGAGUGGAAUUCCUGGUGUAGCGGUGAAAUGCGUAGAUAUCAGGAGGAACACCGGUGGUGUAGACGGCUCACUGGACCGUAACUGACGCUGAGACACGAAAGCGUGGGUAGCAAACAGGAUUAGAUACCCUGGUAGUCCACGCCCUAAACGAUGCAUAUUUGGUGUGGGCAGUUCAUUCUGUCCGUGCCGGAGCUAACGCGUUAAAUAUGCCGCCUGGGGAGUACAGUCGCAAGGCUG